rnacentral:rRNA from 1 species
GACGAACGCUGGCGGCGUGCUUAACACAUGCAAGUCGAACGAAGUGGCGCACGGGUGAGUAACGCGUAAUCAACCUGCCCUUCAGGGGGGGACAACAGUUGGAAACGACUGCUAAUACCGCAUACUGAAGGAGGGGAUGGCGUCUGAUUAGCUAGUUGGAGGGGUAACGGCCCCCCAGGGCGAUGAUCAGUAGCCGUGCUUGGAGGAUGAACGGCCAAAUUGGGACUGAGAAACGGCCCAGACUCCUACGGGAGGUAGCAGUGGGGAAUCUUCCGAAAUGGACGAAAGUCUGACGGAGCAACGCCGCGUGAGUGAUGACGGCCUUCGGGUUGUAAAGCUCUGUUAAUCGGGACGCGGUACCGGAAUAGAAAGCCACGGCUAACUACGUGCCAGCCGCCGCGGUAAUUC